rnacentral:rRNA from 1 species
CCUACGGGGGGCAGCAGUGGGGAAUAUUGCACAAUGGGCGCAAGCCUGAUGCAGCCAUGCCGCGUGUGUGAAGAAGGCCUUCGGGUUGUAAAGCACUUUCAGCGGGGAGGAAGGCGGUGAGGUUAAUAACCUCAUCGAUUGACGUUACCCGCAGAAGAAGCACCGGCUAACUCCGUGCCAGCAGCCGCGGUAAUACGGAGGGUGCAAGCGUUAAUCGGAAUUACUGGGCGUAAAGCGCACGCAGGCGGUCUGUCAAGUCGGAUGUGAAAUCCCCGGGCUCAACCUGGGAACUGCAUUCGAAACUGGCAGGCUAGAGUCUUGUAGAGGGGGGUAGAAUUCCAGGUGUAGCGGUGAAACGCGUAGAGAUCUGGAGGAAUACCGGUGGCGAAGGCGGCCCCCUGGACAAAGACUGACGCUCAGGUGCGAAAGCGUGGGGAGCGAACAGGAUUAGAUACCCGAGUAGUC